rnacentral:lncRNA from 1 species
AGAAGGAGACAGUCUCUUCAUUGGAGCUGAUGGGUGAGCAGGUCAUUGUGAGAGAAGCCAUCAGUCUGGCUUCAGAGACAGCACAGGACUUGAAGUCAAGUUGCCAUGGGCACAGUGAACAUUUGAUAAAUCAUGAGAAAAGCAAUUCAUUUGACAUGCCUUCUCAGACUACUCCAGGUUGAUUUUCCUUGAGACCAUAGCCAGCAUUAUAUUUAACCACAGCCCCUAGAGACCUUGCUAUUUGAAUCAAGAACAAAACAAGGAUGCAUGUAAUCUCCAUUAUUUCAUGACUGUUCAGGAAGUGUAGCUUGCAGGACACAAAACAGAAAGGAGAGGCAAAAAUAUCAAGCCAACAAUUUGUUCCUGCUGUUUGAGGGUGGCUGUCAUUUAUCAACUGAAUGUACACUGUCUCCUACCAUUCAGAAUGCUGAACUUGUCUCACGGAGCUGCUGGGGGUUGAGGUAGGAAGAGACUACGUAAACAAACAAAGGGAGAUAUGACUCAAUAGUUAAGAACACUUGAUGCUCUUCCAGUAGACAAGGGUUCGAUUCCCAGUACCCACAUGAGGGCUUACAACUGUAACGCCAGUUCCAGGGGAUCUAGUGCCCUCUUCUGGCCUUUACAGACACGACAUGCAAGAUUUCUUUUUCUUUUCUUUUUUUCUUUUUUUUUUUUUAACAAGUCAGUUGCAGUGAGCCUUGGAGACACAAAGCAGGGAGGAGUCAUCCUUGAGCAGGGGACAGUCCUCCAGAAGAGGGACCAAUGCCCAAAGGACAAGCCAUGGGUGAACCGUUUUCCAAAUGAGCGGCCACGUGGUCCUGGUGCUUUGGUCCUGGUGUUGCUGCGUUUGUUAGCUGGCUGCAAAGGUAGUAGUGUUCUCAAUGUCUUCAUUGAAUCUGUUUUGGUUUCACUGAUCUUCUUCUGUUUUUCAGCUUUCAGUCCUAUUGAGUUCCGGUUGUUAAUGUUUCUGUUGUUUGAUUUCUGUUGGCUUUGCUUUGCUCUGUUUCUC